AAACAUGCAAGAUGCUUUCCAUAUAUUCACAUGUGAUCUGCGAUUUAUUUCGGGAGCCUCUCAUAUCGGAUUAGUUAGCGAUUCCGGUGGGCGGAUUAGAUAUAAAUUUUAGCGCCUGCGGGUGCUGCUGCUAGGCGUCCAAGUUAAUAUUUGGGACCAUUAGUUUCGAGCAGAUUUCCCGCGAGUCGCGGGCAGUCGACGGUACUUUUGGUCGGGCCGUGUGCAGAAUGAGUGGACCGCAGCCAAAGCUCUGCAAAUAGACGUGAGACCCACGGUUUCUCGCACCCCGAAUCAACCGACACAACCACGCAUCCUCAUUACCACCACGAGCUAACUAAGUACAGUGCAGACGAAACGGCUCGGUAGUAUUUUAGCAGUACUUUUCUAGCUAAUUGGUACGACUGGGAAUUAUCAAGACCUGUUCAUCUUGGAAUCCAUUUAAGUCAGUUUAAUGCAGAAAAAAGCCGAUCACCCACCUCGAGAUGGAGAUUUCAAAGCUAUUUCCGGCCUUAACGAUGACAUCUUGCGCCUCUUUGUGCCGCAGGUUGAAGACGUCGAUGUUAUUCACUUUGACGAUAGCGUCUCCAGCCUGAAGACCCGCAGUCUCAGCCGGACUGCCCCCAUUGACCUAAAACAGUUAAAUAAUAUUUUAGAGCGAUGAAUUUUUUCAACCUUCCAAUUAUGACGUUUUGCCAAAAUUUAAAAGCGUUGUUUUUCUCCUCGUGAACGGGAAAUUCGAACUCUACGAGGAUCGUGGUGCGAUCACUUCUGCCUCUGUUCAUUUUACUCACUGAAGUGAAAGCGAAAGUUCAAAUUGCGGAAGAAUGUGGGUCGGUUUUGAUAAACUGGACUCUGCCGUAUCAGAAAUUUGAUUGUGCACUCGGGUGUGACCUUGCAUGCAUGUGACGGAGACAGUUAUUAAGCAAUUAUUACGAGUUCUUUUUUAUUACCACGUGCACUUAAAAAUUGUUAUCAAAACUUUUGUUUUAGUUUUAUAUUUGCUCUCUUUGCUCAACUACAAUUAUUAAUAUUUUCUCCGUCGCGUGUGCAGUUGUUGAGUGUAGCCAGAAAAUUUCCACAUUUUGGAACAACUCGCUUGCAUCGCCAAGUUGUGGUAAUUAUGCAAGCUUCUCGACGAGAAUUAACCGACUUAGCGGAUGUUCUCAAAAGAUAAUUAAAGGCGCCUCUCGCAAACGCUCUCGGUUAAUUAAGCUUUGGCGCAACAACUCGGCUGAUGUUCAUGUUGGACUCCA